rnacentral:rRNA from 1 species
UGGGGAAUUUUGGACAAUGGGGGCAACCCUGAUCCAGCCAUCCCGCGUGUGCGAUGAAGGCCUUCGGGUUGUAAAGCACUUUUGGCAGGGAAGAAACAGCCUGGGCUAAUAUCCCGGGCGACUGACGGUACCUGCAGAAUAAGCACCGGCUAACUACGUGCCAGCAGCCGCGGUAAUACGUAGGGUGCAAGCGUUAAUCGGAAUUACUGGGCGUAAAGCGUGCGCAGGCGGUUCGGAAAGAAAGGUGUGAAAUCCCAGGGCUUAACCUUGGAACUGCACUUUUAACUACCGGGCUAGAGUACGUCAGAGGGGGGUAGAAUUCCACGUGUAGCAGUGAAAUGCGUAGAGAUGUGGAGGAAUACCGAUGGCGAAGGCAGCCCCCUGGGAUGAUACUGACGCUCAUGCACGAAAGCGUG